GAUGAACGCUGGCGGCGUGCCUAAUACAUGCAAGUCGAGCGAACAGACGAGGAGCUUGCUCCUCUGACGUUAGCGGCGGACGGGUGAGUAACACGUGGAUAACCUACCUAUAAGACUGGGAUAACUUCGGGAAACCGGAGCUAAUACCGGAUAAUAUAUUGAACCGCAUGGUUCAAUAGUGAAAGACGGUUUUGCUGUCACUUAUAGAUGGAUCCGCGCCGCAUUAGCUAGUUGGUAAGGUAACGGCUUACCAAGGCAACGAUGCGUAGCCGACCUGAGAGGGGGGAGGGCGACCGUGUGAGUGCGACACGGUCCAGACUAGUACGGGAGGCGGCAGUGGGGAGUCUGUCGGAAUGGGCGAAAGCUUGACAGAGCAACGCAGAGUGAAAGAAGAAGGUCUACGGUCAGUAAAACGCUGUUAUUAGGGAAGAACAAAUGUGUCAGGAACUAUGCCCGUCUUGACGGUACCUAAUCAGAAAGCCACGACUAACUACGUG
rnacentral:rRNA from 1 species